AUUGAACGCUGGCGGAAUGCUUUACACAUGCAAGUCGAACGGCAGCACGGGGGCAACCCUGGUGGCGAGUGGCGAACGGGUGAGUAAUAUAUCGGAACGUGCCCAGUCGUGGGGGAUAACGUAGCGAAAGUUACGCUAAUACCGCAUACGAUCUACGGAUGAAAGCGGGGGAUCGCAAGACCUCGCGCGAUUGGAGCGGCCGAUAUCAGAUUAGGUAGUGGGUGGGGUAAAGGCUCACCAAGCCAACGAUCUGUAGGUGGUCUGAGAGGACGACCAGCCACACUGGGACUGAGACACGGCCCAGACUCCUACGGGAGGCAGCAGUGGGGAAUUUGGACAAUGGGCGCAAGCCUGAUCCAGCCAUUCCGCGUGCAGGACGAAGGCCUUCGGGUUGUAAACUGCUUUUGUACGGAACGAAAAAGCCUUGGCUAAUACCCAGGGUCCAUGACGGUACCGUAAGAAUAAGCACCGGCUAACUACGUGCCAGCCGCCGCCGUAA
rnacentral:rRNA from 1 species